GUAAGAUGUGAUUUCGGCUAGCCCCACCUAACAGGGUUCUUUUAAAGUGCUUUAAAAUUCAGGUUUUGUUUUGGGGUGUGUGUGUCUGUGUGUGUGUGUCUGUGUGUGUGUGUGUGUGUGUGUGUCUGUGUCUGUGUGUGUCUGUGUGUGUCUGUGUCUGUGUGUGUGUGUGCCCCCCCAACAACAGGACUCUUUUAAAGUGCUUUAAAAUUCAGGUUUUGUUUUGUGUGUGUGUGUGUGUGUGUGUGUGUGUGUGUGUGUGUGUGUGUGUGUGUGUCUGUGUGUGUGUGUGUGUGUCUGUGUGUGUGUGUGUGUCUGUGUGUGUGUCUGUGUGUGUGUCUGUGUGUGUGUCUGUGUGUGUGUCUGUGUGUGUGUCUGUGUGUGUGUAUCUGUGUGUGUGUGUGUUUUGGCUGCAGGUACCUCAUGCCUGGCAGAGGCCAGGAGAGGGGUGGGAUCUCCUGAAACUGGAUUUGGAGACAGUGUGAACUACUGUGUGGGUGCUGGGAAUCUAAGAUGGGUCCUCUGGAAGAGCAGCCAGUGCUCUUAGUUGCUGAGCGCGUUUUUUUUUCUUGGAGAUAGGUCCGGCAAUGGGACAUCACCUUGAGGAAUAGUAAGUAGAGGGUGAGGAACCUGAGUAUUUAGAGAGGAUUCUAGUUAAACCCCUAUUCUAGUUUAGCAGGAUUCUUGCUAAAAUUUGAACAAUUGGACUAGGCAUGGUUGUGCACACCUUUAAUCCCAGCACUUGAGGAAACAGAGAUCCACCAGCCUCUGCCUCCCCAGUACUAAGAUUAACAGUGUGUCACCAUGCCCUGCCUGCUUCUGCUCUAUAAAAAUUUUCCAGCUCUUCCCUGUGUGGUUGCCUUCUCCCUCCUCACUACCUUGAGAUUAGCAAGCAAAAAACAAAACAAAACAAAACAAAAACAACAAAACCAGGCUCUGGGAUGAGGAGAAGGAACAAUCUCAGAAGCACAGGGAUCGUCCAGUGGCUCUCAGAUAUCACUGAUGUUCAUGUGAAAACUAGCCUUGGGUCACUUGGGAUAGACUCAAGAUUAUGGGCUCAAAGCAGUGACAAACUGAUUCUGGCAACAUAAAUGGGGGGGGGAGGGCGGUUCUGGGUAAUGUGAUGAGAAUCACCUGGCUAACAUUUGGAAUCUAAAAUUUCUUCUUCUUCUUUUUUUUUUUUUUGUAUUUUUUUG
rnacentral:lncRNA from 1 species